AACGAACGCUGGCGGCAGGCUUAACACAUGCAAGUCGAACGCAUCCUUCGGGGUGAGUGGCAGACGGGUGAGUAACGCGUGGGAACGUGCCCUUCAGUUCGGGAUAACCCAGGGAAACUUGGGCUAAUACCGGAUACGUGCGAGAGCAGAAAGAUUUAUCGCUGAAGGAUCGGCCCGCGUCUGAUUAGCUAGUUGGUGGGGUAAUGGCCCACCAAGGCGACGAUCAGUAGCUGGUCUGAGAGGAUGAUCAGCCACAUUGGGACUGAGACACGGCCCAAACUCCUACGGGAUGCAGCAGUGGGGAAUAUUGGACAAUGGGCGCAAGCCUGAUCCAGCCAUGCCGCGUGAGUGAUGAAGGCCUUAGGGUUGUAAAGCUCUUUCGUCCGGGACGAAAUGACGGUACCGGAAGAAGAAGCCCCGGCUAACUUCGUGCCAGCCGCCGCGGUAACAC
rnacentral:rRNA from 1 species